GUCGACGAGCGAGAGAGAGCUUGCUUUCUCGAGCGAGUGGCGAACGGGUGAGUAACGCGUGAGGAACCUGCCUCAAAGAGGGGGACAACAGUUGGAAACGACUGCUAAUACCGCAUAAGCCCACRGSUCGGCAUCGASCAGAGGGAAAAGGAGCAAUCCGCUUUGAGAUGGCCUCGCGUCCGAUUAGCUAGUUGGUGAGGUAACGGCCCACCAAGGCGACGAUCGGUAGCCGGACUGAGAGGUUGAACGGCCACAUUGGGACUGAGACACGGCCCAGACUCCUACGGGAGGCAGCAGUGGGGAAUAUUGCACAAUGGGGGAAACCCUGAUGCAGCGACGCCGCGUGGAGGAAGAAGGUCUUCGGAUUGUAAACUCCUGUUGUUGGGGAAGAUAAUGACGGUACCCAACAAGGAAGUGACGGCUAACUACGUGCCAGCAGCCGCGGUAAAACGUAGGUCACAAGCGUUGUCCGGAAUUACUGGGUGUAAAGGGAGCGCAGGCGGGAAGACAAGUUGGAAGUGAAAUCUAUGGGCUCAACCCAUAAACUGCUUUCAAAACUGUUUUUCUUGAGUAGUGCAGAGGUAGGCGGAAUUCCCGGUGUAGCGGUGGAAUGCGUAGAUAUCGGGAGGAACACCAGUGGCGAAGGCGGCCUACUGGGCACCAACUGACGCUGAGGCUCGAAAGUGUGGGUAGCAAACAGGAUUAGAUACCCUGGUAGUCCACACCGUAAACGAUGAUUACUAGGUGUUGGAGGAUUGACCCCUUCAGUGCCGCAGUUAACACAAUAAGUAAUCCACCUGGGGAGUACGACCGCAAGGUUGAAACUCAAAGGAAUUGACGGGGGCCCGCACAAGCAGUGGAGUAUGUGGUUUAAUUCGACGCAACGCGAAGAACCUUACCAAGUCUUGACAUCCCUUGACGAUGCUGGAAACAGUAUUUCUCUUCGGAGCAAGGAGACAGGUGGUGCAUGGUUGUCGUCAGCUCGUGUCGUGAGAUGUUGGGUUAAGUCCCGCAACGAGCGCAACCCUUAUGGUCAGUUACUACGCAAGAGGACUCUGGCCAGACUGCCGUUGACAAAACGGAGGAAGGUGGGGAUGACGUCAAAUCAUCAUGCCCUUUAUGACUUGGGCUACACACGUACUACAAUGGCGUUAAACAAAGAGAAGCAAGACCGCGAGGUGGAGCAAAACUCAGAAACAACGUCCCAGUUCGGACUGCAGGCUGCAACUCGCCUGCACGAAGUCGGAAUUGCUAGUAAUCGUGGAUCAGCAUGCCACGGUGAAUACGUUCCCGGGCCUUGUCACACCG
rnacentral:rRNA from 1 species